UCACUGUAGUUCAGAUGGUAGAAUAUUUGCCUGGUAAGCGAGAUGCCCACGGUUCAAUUUCGGGUCACAGUGUU
rnacentral:tRNA from 1 species